CCCGAUUUAUCCAGUUAAACGUUCCGAGUGGAGCAGAACGCGGGGGUUUAACCCCCAGCCUCGGCAUUUCUUGAUAGACAUGUUCACAGCUGCAGGAAGUUAGCGGGAGGGGGGCAGACAACGAGCUGCUGAUAGAAAACCAGGGGGUCUCAACCUUCGUUGCAGUGCGGCUCCCCGUCUGACAACAAAAGCUACUCGGGGACAGGGGCGGGGGGGACAAACCCUGAACCCCACUGCCCCAUGCAGCCACACGUGGGCCAGGCUUCAGCCUCGGGUGGGGGGCCUGUAACCUGAGCCCCACCACCCUGAGCGGUGGGGCUUGGGCUUCAGCCCCAGGUCCCAGCAAAUCUAAUGCCAGCCCUGGUGACCCUGUUCAAAUGGAGUCACGGCCCAGGGUUUGAGAACUGCUGUAGUAGACUUUAGAUGAUUCAAAAAGUUUAAAAUUUACAACUGUUAAAUGAUCAAUGUCACGUCAAAAUAUACAAAGUAUGUAUCUUUAAAAUCAAGUAAGUUCUCGAGCAGCAUUUUUCUUUCUGUGCCUUCCCAUAGAUGAUGAUCAUCAAUAGCAAUAUUUUCUCUUGUGUUCGUAUGUGUACUGUGAAAUUGAUGUUUACCAACGUUCACCCAUAAAAACCAAAUCCUUCCAAGCCUACAUGUGGGGUUUGAUGGAGCAAGCCACAGGUAUACUUCAAGUAUUUCUGCAUGUGAAUAAGACCUUCCAAAUGAUAAUCAAGUGGUAAUUAUUGCCUUCCUGGAUCUAUAGAGAGCCCAAAACUGUAGCUCUGAAAUUGGAAUUACUCUGCUCAUUCAUUUAAUCUGAUGUUACCUGUAAAGCCUACAGAGAACAUCUUAAAUGUCAACAUUGAUAACUGUUUCGCUGCUCAAAUUAUCCUGCUAUUGUGAUCUCCUUUAGCCACGUAGAGCACCUACCUGUACAAGUGAGGCUAACAUGGUCCAGAGGAAUAAGCUAUGGGUGGACUGUCAAAUGCCUGAGUUUGAAUUCCGACCCUGCAACCAACUAGAGCUGUGUGGUCUUGAACAAGUUACCAUACCUGCCAGCCUCAGACUUCCUACUUCACAGGGCUGUUGUGAGGAUUAAUGUCUGUAAAGCACUAUGCAAGUGCUAGGUAUUGUAUCAGAGAGCUGGAUGGGAGUGUGACCAACCUGACUUCAUGCAAGACUGGGAAAUAUUUUUUGCAAACUAAAGCUUA